rnacentral:rRNA from 1 species
CCUUGUUGCUUCGGCGGGCCCGCCGUUUCGACGGCCGCCGGGGAGGCCUCGCGCCCCCGGGCCCGCGCCCGCCGAAGACCCCAACAUGAACGCUGUUCUGAAAGUAUGCAGUCUGAGUUGAUUAUCAUAAUCAGUUAAAACUUUCAACAACGGAUCUCUUGGUUCCGGCAUCGAUGAAGAACGCAGCGAAAUGCGAUAAGUAAUGUGAAUUGCAGAAUUCAGUGAAUCAUCGAGUCUUUGAACGCACAUUGCGCCCCCUGGUAUUCCGGGGGGCAUGCCUGUCCGAGCGUCAUUGCUGCCCUCAAGCACGGCUUGUGUGUUGGGCCCCGUCCCCUCCCCCGGGGACGGGCCCGAAAGGCAGCGGCGGCACCGCGUCCGGUCCUCGAGCGUAUGGGGCUUUGUCACCCGCUCUGUAGGCCCGGCCGGCGCCAGCCGACACCCAACUUUAUUUUCUAAGGUUGACCUCGGAUCAGGUAGGGAUACCCGCUGAACUU